rnacentral:rRNA from 1 species
CGGACGGGUGAGUAACACGUGGAUAACCUACCUAUAAGACUGGGAUAACUUCGGGAAACCGGAGCUAAUACCGGAUAAUAUAUUGAACCGCAUGGUUCAAUAGUGAAAGACGGUUUUGCUGUCACUUAUAGAUGGAUCCGCGCCGCAUUAGCUAGUUGGUAAGGUAACGGCUUACCAAGGCAACGAUGCGUAGCCGACCUGAGAGGGUCAUCGGCCACACUGGAACUGAGACACGGUCCAGACUCCUACGGGAGGCAGCAGCG